GACGUAGGAUGCAAGCGUUGUCCGGAUUUAUUGGGCGUAAAGAGUUCGUAGGUGGUUCGUUAAGUCUGAUAUUAAAGACUGGGGCUCAACCCUGGAAGUGCAUUGGAUACUGGCGGACUUGAGUGUGGUAGAGGCAAUCGGAAUUCCAGGUGUAGCGGUGAAAUGCGUAGAUAUCUGGAAGAACACCGGUGGCGCAAGCGGAUUGCUGGGCCAUAACUGACACUGAGGAACGAAAGCUAGGGGAGCGAAUGGG
rnacentral:rRNA from 1 species